AGUAAAGAAGUCAUGUUUUAUGUAAUAGUUAGAUGUGGACAUGUAUUGUAAAAUGAUAUUAUGUGAUGAAAUGUAAAGAAUUGUAUUAAGGAUAGAAUUGUGCUUGGCCCUAGUGUAUGUUAAUCCCUUUUUGAUACAUGAUCUUUUUAAUGAAAGGUUUUAAUGAUGUUUAUGUAAACCAAGCUUAAUGUAUGAUAUGUCACCCCAUUGGAGCAUUUGAUGAGGG
rnacentral:lncRNA from 1 species